ensembl:lncRNA
CCACCCAACGGGUAUCCAUAUGAGGGCACAAGGCGAGACCCAGAUGCAGACACGGGAGGCAGAUGGUUUGAGUCUUUGAUAUUUAUUAAUAAUCCAAAAACAGUAGGCGAGAGUAUAGCCGUGGUCAGGCAAAAAAGGUCAAAACCAGUUCAGAGUCCAGGAGGUACAGAGUGGCAGGCAGGCUCGAGGUCAGGGCAGGUAAAACAGGUUGGCAGGCUCGAGGUCAGGGCAGGUAAAACAGGUUGGCAGGCUCGAGGUCAGGGCAGGUAAAACAGGCUGGCAGGCUCGAGGUCAGGGCAGGUAAAACAGGUUGGCAGGCUCGAGGUCAGGGCAGGUAAAACAGGUUGGCAGGCUCGAGGUCAGGGCAGGUAAAACAGGUUGGCAGGCUCGAGGUCAGGGCAGGUAAAACAGGUUGGCAGGCUCGAGGUCAAGGCAGGUAAAACAGGUUGGCAGGCUCGAGGUCAGGGCAGGUAAAACAGGCUGGCAGGCUCGAGGUCAGGGCAGGUAAAACAGGCUGGCAGGCUCGAGGUCAGGGCAGGCAGAAUGGUCAGGCAGGCUCGAGGUCAGGGCAGGCAGAAUGGUCAGGCUGGCGGGUACAGAGUCCAGAAAACAGGGUCAAGGGUCAAAACCGGGAGGACUAGAAAAAGAGAACAGAAAAGGCAGGAGCACGGGAAAACCGCUAGUGGACUUGGAAACAUACAAG